CCUACGGGGGGCAGCAGUGAGGAAUAUUGGUCAAUGGGCGCGAGCCUGAACCAGCCAAGUAGCGUGAAGGAUGACUGCCCUACGGGUUGUAAACUUCUUUUAUAAAGGAAUAAAGUGAGGCACGUGUGCCUUUUUGUAUGUAUUUGAUGAAUAAGGAUCGGCUAACUCCGUGCCAGCAGCCGCGGGAAUACGGAGGAACCGAGCGUUAUCCGGAUUUAUUGGGGUUAAAGGGAGCGUAGAUGGGAUGUUAAGUCAGUUGUGAAAGUUUGCGGCUCAACCGUAAAAUUGCAAUUGAUACUGGCAGCCUUGAGUACAGUUGAGGUAUGCGGAAUUCGUGGUGUAGCGGUGAUAUGCAUAGAUAUCACGCAGAACUCCGAUUGCGAAGGCAGCAUACCGGCGCCCAACUGACGCUGAAGCACGAAAGCGUGGGUAUCGAACAGGAUUAGAUACCCUAGUAGUC
rnacentral:rRNA from 1 species